UGGUGGAGUGAUUUGUCUGGUUAAUUCCGUUAACGAACGAGACCUCAGCCUGCUAAAUAGUCGAGCGAAUUCUUCCCGAAUUCGUGUUCCCAUUUUCUCGGCUUCUUAGAGGGACUGUCUGUAUCUAGCAGAAGGAAGUGUGAGGCAAUAACA
rnacentral:rRNA from 1 species